GAUGAACGCUGGCGGCGUGCUUAAUACAUGCAAGUCGAACGGAGACUGUAGCAAUACUGUCUUAGUGGCGAACGGGUGAGUAACGCGUUGGUGACCUGCCCCGAAGAGGGGGAUAACAGUCCGAAAGGAUUGCUAAUACCCCAUGUGGUCGUUUGGAUUAGAUGCCUUACGACUAAACGGAUUUAUUCGCUUCGGGAGGGGCCUGCGUCCCAUCAGCUAGUUGGUAGGGUAAUAGCCUACCAAGGCGAUGACGGGUAGGGGACCUGAGAGGGUGGCCCCCCACAAUGGAACUGAAACACGGUCCAUACACCUACGGGUGGCAGCAGUAGGGAAUAUUAGAAAUGGACGAAAGUCUGAUCUAGCAACACCGCGUGUGCGAAGAAGGCCUUCGGGUCGUAAAGCACUUUUUGGAAGGAAUAGGAAGGAAUGUACUUCCAGAAUAAGUCUCGGCUAACUACGUG
rnacentral:rRNA from 1 species